ensembl:sense_intronic Gm43465 predicted gene 43465
AAAAAAAAGAAGUUCUUGAGUUUCUCAUCCAUCCCCCUGCCUCCAGGCUCAUUUUAUGCAGUGCUGACGGGUGAGCCCAGUAGUUCACACAACUUAAGCAACUGCUCUCCCAGCUGACUCCCAGUAGUACUUUAAAGUUAGCAGAGGAAUGGUUUCCAGCAGGCCCCGGUAACACAAGCACUUAUUUCCAGCAUUCAAGACACUGAGUUUGAGGCCAGCCUGGACUAUAAAACAGACGAAACAAAACUUUAAACUAAAGGGCUUUCAUAUAAAGGUUUCUUUUAUUGACCCCCUGGGAACAAAUAAAACCUUCAUUUAAAAAAAUGGUUUUUUGUUUUGUUUUGUUUUGUUUUAAACCAUAUUAUUUAUUACUCCAGUGUGUCUUCCUGCCUGUGUAAGGGCAUGCAUGCUUCAGCAUGUGGGUGGAGGUCAGAGGACAACUCGUAGACCGACUUCACUUUCCACCUUUACAUGCCUUUUGGAGAUGGAGAGGUGGCCGGGCUGGCACAGCGAGUACCCCUUAUCCACUGAGUCACCUCACUGGCCAUGAGUUGUUCCUUAUAAAAGACAUUUUUGUGCAGAGCUAUGGUAACAUUGUCUAGGCUCAGAAAUGAUUAGGACUCUUAAUUUGAAGCACUGGUAGCACUUGGAAACUCAGAGGAGUUUGUCUUCCCCUUCUUUCCCUCAGUCAUCAGCUGUUACCAAAGGUUGUGACAAAAAUUGGCAAGUGUGGUUCUGCAGACACUCUUCUUGAUUUGAGAGUUGCCAUAUGCUCUCCCUUUUACAAGUUAUAUUUAUUUUUAAGUAUCGUUUGCCGCUAUUUAACAAUAUUAAGGGGAAUCUGUACUAAAUACCAGAUUGCUGCUGGCAAGUUGAAACUCUGCUACCCAAAUCUUAAAUCUCCAUUUACUCGGAUGAGAGGACAACCCAGGUUCUUGUGUACAAGACAUUACUUAGGCUCAUGGGCUUUCAGAUUAGAAUUUGCUCUUUCAAGCAUCUGCUUCCACCGGCUUGGUUCCCCAGUGACACUGUAACAUAGCUUCCAUCCAGGUACUUGCGCAGAUUGCAGUAGAAUUUGAGGAAGGAGUACCUGAGAUGCUUCACGGAGGGGAGAUGGUGCUGAAGCCCCCUCUGAGCAGGAGAAGGCUGGGAAGGGAUGCUGGCUAAAGGAGACAGUGAAGCAGAGGCCCUAGGCAACUCAGGCAUGGUGGCACUUCCAGAAAGGAAGGUAGGUUGUUUUUUGUUGAAGUAUAAGCAUUAGUGGGGAAGGAUGUUAGGAAAUGAAGCCAGACUGGUAUCCAUGGGCCAGGUGGUGGAGAACCUUGCAUGUCUUCCAUUUGGCAGAUACUUAUUGGAUAGCUUGUGAACCAGGUACUGCUGUAGACACAUAAUGGUCAUAAUGGGAAGAGAUAGAUGAUUAUUAAUAAUAUCCUAUGAGUGCAUAUAAGCUACAGUAUAAUGACCAGUGGUAAGAGGAAGUUUUGAGGUCAAUAAAAAUGGGACCAUUUUAGGGGACCAGGAAAGGUUGGUUGAAGAACCAGUAGGGUGAAUGACCUCCAGUGUUCAGGCCUGAAGCGAUAUGCAAGUGACCUGAGGUUUGAGCUGGAGAGACAGACAGCUCAGUGGUUAAGUGUUCAACAUAUAUUGCUCUUGCAAAGUCUCUGGAGGUGUUCAGGUCUCAGCAACCAUGUUAGGUCACAUCCAAGUGCAUUUGAUGUGUCUAUCCUCCAUGGGUACCUGCAUUCAUGUGCACAUGCACAUACACAUACAUUCACACACACACACAUGUGUACUCAUACAUACACAUGCAUAAUUUUUAAAAACUUGUAAAAGCCCUAAAGUUAGACUGGCUCUUGCCUGUUUAAGGAAAUCUUAAGAGUUAAGUGUGUCUGAGUAUCACGGAGGGAGAGUGUUGUGUCCGGCCAGCAGACCACAACCUGGGUUCUAGCCUGGAAAGGCAUUUUGGAAACCUGGAANNNNNNNNNNNNNNNNNNNNNNNNNNNNNNNNNNNNNNNNGGGCGUGGCAGAACGAAUGAGCAGGAAGCUCCACCCCUGAGCAAGCAGGUUUCAGGCUGGGGGAGGGGAGACUACAGGAGAGGAUUAGAAUAUAGAGUCUAGAAAACUAAGUAAGGAUUCGGAGGUGAAGUGGGGAAUGACUGGAGAGUUUGGGGUGGAGGGAAGGAUAAUCUAUUGUGUGGUUUUGAAAGGAUGCAUUGUAGUGGACAGAAAGCCAAGAAACCAGUGAGGGAGUUAUUGCAGUAAUGGUGGUAAGAAGUGGCAGCUUGGACCAGGGUGGCUGCAGUGUGUGGGAGCUUACUGAGAAAAGGAAGUGUUUGCCAUCUAUGAUAAGCAUCCAUUGGAAGAUUCUGAUCCAUAGGACUGGGGAGAUAGCUCAGUGGUUAUUAGCAGUGGCUGCUCUUCCGGAGGACCUGGGGUUGAUUCCCAGCAGCUGCAUGUCAUUUCACAACUGUGUAACUCCAGUUCCAGGGAAUCCAGCACCCACUUUUGGCCUCUAAAGGCACCAGGCAUGCACAUAGCAUGUAGAUAUACUUGUAGAUAGAUAAGUGCUGAUACACAAAAAUAAAAGUUAAAUAAACCUUUUUAAAAGUCUGAUCCAUGGGAUGACAGAAUUUGUGUGUU